ACAGAGGUGGCAAGCGUUGUUCGGAAUCACUGGGCUUAAAGGGUGUGUAGGCGGUUAGGUAAGCAUUCUGUGAAAGCCCUGGGCUCAACCCAGGAACCGCAGGAUGUACUGCCCGACUUGAGGCGAGUAGAGGUCACUGGAACUCUGGGUGGAGCGGUGAAAUGCGUAGAUAUCCAGGGGAACGCCAAUGGCGAAGGCAGGUGACUGGGCUCGUCCUGACGCUGAGGCACGAAAGCGUGGGAAGUGAACGG
rnacentral:rRNA from 1 species